GGUGGUUCUUGGGUGACACACCCCGGAAUUGGGUUCCCUCUUCUUUGGUUCUAGGUGUGUCACCCGAGAACCGCA
rfam:Myotis brandtii contig235235, whole genome shotgun sequence.